AGGGCUGGGUCAGCAUUCUAAGGCAGUUGGAAAAUUGGCAACUGAUACCCUCUCUCUGGGAAGUAGGCAGGGUGUGUGGAAGUGUCUCUCUGAAUGAAACCAACUUUGGAGCUGCCUGGAGAUUGGAUCAUCUUUAAGGAGAGGUUGGUGCAAGAAGAGGAGGUGGUCUAUACUAUCAAAACAAGGAUAAGGACUGAGAAAAGGCCAACAAAACAAGCAGUUAAGAAAGCAUUGAUAACCUCAGAGGGAGUAGUUCCAAUCUAUAGGGUAUGAUCAGAAACUAGCUUCUAAAGGUUUAAGAAAUCAGUAUGUGAUGACAUUCCUAAUGGAGGCAGCCUACAUUGAAUACUGUUUCUAGGAGUUUGCAGUAUAGGGAUAAAAGAUAAGGGAAGGACUAAUGGGAUCAGAGGAGAUGAAAAAGAGAAGGAAGGGAGGAUUAAGAGUAUGUUAAGAAGGGUAAGCCUUGACAAGAAAUAAUGCCACCUUUUUUUCCAGACUCAGGAGCAAAAGAGGUGAGGGCAGCUAAGGUAUGAAGGAAAGGUUUCAAGGUAUAAAGACAUGAAAGUGAGGCAACUCAUGUCAUAUGGUCCUUGGUCUUUAUUUACAUUUUUCUGUGACUUCAAGAAAUUGAUAAAAUUGUUGAAUAAAACAGGACUAAGGAAA
rnacentral:lncRNA from 1 species